rnacentral:rRNA from 1 species
GUACGGGGGAGCAAGCGUUGUUCGGAUUUACUGGGCGUAAAGGGCGCGUAGGCGGUCGUGACAAGUCACUUGUGAAAUCUCCGGGCUUAACUCGGAACGGUCAAGUGAUACUGUCGGACUAGAGUACAGAAGGGGCGAACUGGGAAUUCUCGGUGUAGCGGUGAAAUGCGUAGAUAUCGAGAGGAACACCUGCGGCGAAGGCGGUCGUCCUGGACCGUCG